rnacentral:lncRNA from 12 species
GUUCAGUUCCUGGGCCUGGCUGCUUGAUUGUUCAUGGACAUUUGAUAUAUUACCAAUCAUUCAAUUGUACAAAUAUGUGGCUUGAACGCAGACAACAGCUCAUCUUCUCCAGUGAGGGGACAUUUAUACUCUUAAAACAGAGAAACAUGGUAGUUAUAUGCUCAUGCUCUGCUGUCAGCUGCUUGAGUUCAUUUCUACUUGGGCAAGUGACUUGACCUCUCUAAGCCUCGGGUUUCCUCACCUGUAAAAAGGGGAUAAUAAUAGUAGCAGCCUCAUAGAAUUGUUUUAGGAUGAAAUGUGAUAGUGAACAUAAAGUGCUCAGUACAGAGCCAGGUACAAAAAUGUAACCACUAUCAUCAUCACCACCAUCAUCACUAUCAUCAUCACCAUCCUCAUCCUCAUCCUCUUUAUCUUAAUUAUCACCACCAUCAUCAUCACCAUUAUCAUCACUAUUCUCAUCCCCAUCCUCAUCCCUCUCAUCUUUAUCAUCACCAUCCUCAUCACCAUUAUCAUCAUAAUCACGAUCCUCAUUACCAUCACCAUCACCAUCAUCAAUAUCCUCAUCACCAACAUCACUAUCAUUAUCACCACGAUCAUCAUCCUCAUCGCCCUCUCCUCAUCAUCACCAUCAUCAUUAUCAUUAACAUCACCAUUAUCAUCAUCACCAUAAUCAUCACUAUCAUCACUAUCAUCAUUAUCACCACCACCACCAUCAUCAUCCUCAUCACCCCCCUCACCAUCAUCACCACCACCAUCACCACCACUGUCAUCACCACCAACAUCACCAUCAUCAUCAUCAUCAUUGUCAUCCUUAUCAAUGCCCUCAUCCUUUUUCUGCUCAUCACCACCAUCAUCACCACCAAUAUCAUCAUCACCAUCAUCACCACCAUCCUCAUCAUCACCAUCACCAUCAUACUCAUCACCACCAUCACCAUCAUCAUCAUCAUCACCACAACCUCUCUUUUUCUUCUUGCUAAUCCAUCCAAAUCACUUCUACAUUAUCCUUCUUUUCCUCUUCAUCCUUC